AUGCUGGCAUCUUCGAUGGAAGCCAAGAUGGAGGCUACUCCCUCGUUGCUGAAUCUCCCUCUGCUGCUCCUAAUCCAGCUCAGCUAUGUGCAUCAGGAGGCAUCAGCUGCCUCUGCAAAUGCCCUCUGGGAGUCAGGCCUUCCUUUUGUGAGCAUCCUUUUGUCGAAUCUGCCCCUUCUGGAGUGACCACUUGUCUACUUCAAUUAUGUUUCUUGUUUUAUUGGAGUGGCUUAAACACAGGUGAUUCUACUCCCGGUUCAAGAGACUAUUAGUCUGAGAGACCAGAAGAGGGCCUUGCUGCUGACCUAAAAAAGGAACCAUUUCCUGUAGCCACAGUGUACUGGCUAGUUUUGUGUCAACUUGACACAGCUGGAGUUAUCACAGAGAAAGGAGCUUCAGUUGAGGAAAUGCCUCCAUGAGAUCCAACUGUAAGGCGUUUUCUCAAUUAGUGAUCAAGGGGGAAAGGCACCUUGUGGAUGGGACCAUCUCUGGGCUGGUAGUCUUGGUUCUAUAAGAGAGCAGGCUGAGCAAGCCAGAGGAGGCAAGCCAGUAACGAAUAUCCCUCCAUGGCCUCUGCAUCAGCUCCUGCUUCCUGACCUGCUUGAGUUCCAGUCCUGACUUCCUUGGUGAUGAACAGCAGUGUGGAAGUGUAAGCCGAAUAAACCCUUUCCUCCCCAACUUGCUUCUUGGUCAUGAUGUUUGUGCAGGAAUAGAAACCCUGACUAAGAGACACAGUCUGUAGAGCUUUUGUUUUGUUAUUUUUGAGACAAUGUAGCCCCUAUGGCUUGAUACUUGCUGUAGUGGCUAUUCCUGGUUGUCAACUUGACUAUAUUUGGAAUGAACUACAAUCCAGAAUUGGAAGGAUCACUAGUGACCCUUAUCUGGAGGCUUGGAGAUCCUUAUCUGGAUCUUGGUAUGGAAAUCUUGAGCCAUAGUGGCUAUGGAUUCCAGAAGAUUAAAUCUCGGAGUUUAAGGAACACACCUUCAAUCUGGGCUACACCUUCUGCUGGAGACAAUAUAAGGACAUUGGAAGAAGGGAGUCUAGCUCUUGCUCCUUCGCCUGCUUGCUGCGUGAGACUGAGUAACUGCUAGAUCCUUGGACUUCCAUUCACAGCUGCGACUGAACAGUUGUUGGGAAUUGGGCUGCCGACUGUAAGUCAUCAAUAAGUUCCUCUACUAUCUAGAGACUGUCCGUAAGUUCUGCGACUCUAGAGAACCCUGGCUAAUGCACUUGCUGUGUGUUUUAGGCUGCGUUCAGACAGGACCUGGUAAUCCUUCUCUCUCAGCCUCUGGACUGCUGGGAUUAAACAGGUGCCAUCUUUGUUUGGGUUUUGAUCAGGUCUCACUGUUUUUUGAAUUUUAACAAGUUUUUUUUUUUUUUGUUGUUGUUUUUGAGACAAGGUUUUGCUGUGUAGCCCUGGCUGUGCUGGAAGUUGCUUUGUAGACCAAGCUGACCUUGAACUCCUAGAGAUCCAAUUGCCUCUGCCUUGCCAGUGCUGGGGUUAAAGGGAUGUGCCAUGUGCCGCCGCCACAUUUCGGCGGAGGGGAGAUUUAAACCAGUGUUUUUCAUUAUUUUACAUGCAUGCAUGUAUGUCCAUCACAUGCAUGCAAUGCCGUACAGGCCAUUAGAAGGCAUCAGAUCCCUGGAACUGGAGUUUCAGAUAGUUGUGUGCUUCCAUGUGGGUGCUGGGAAUCAAACCGAGGUCUUAAAAGUAGUAAAUGCUUUUAAGUGCUGAGCC
rnacentral:lncRNA from 1 species